GUAGGAGCAGAAGGAGUGGGAGUAGUACUCUUGUGGUCUGGCUUUAGUUUUAGGGUUCUUCGGUGGUUUCUAAUCUCACUGUCAGUGGUUGCGGCUCCUUCCUGCCGUAGGGUUUCUUUUGCUGAGGGCCAGCCAUAAACUCAUUCAACCAGUCCCCAUGACCGAGUUCUGAGCCUCUGGCUACGGAGACCAAGAGAAAGAAAGAGAUAACGCAGAGGAGCUAGUAAAGUUUAGUACGAGCAAAGAGUACUACGCUAAAACUGACAUGGCGUGGAAAAGGGUAUAUCUCCUUGGUGAUCCACCAAAUGCAGGGAAAUCAACCAUGAUUAUUGCCAUUGCUAAUUUAAGAUGUAUAUGAUCAUGAGUUGACUAUAGUGCAGGACAAUACCGAGCCUAGAGAGAUUUUAAUAGGAACUUCCAAUAACCAGACAACGAAAAAAGAAAAACAUAAAGGAUGAGGAAGAAGAUGAUAGUAUCUGAUUUAGAAGAAGGCCAAAGAGGAGGAGGAUAAGAAAGAUUGCAUUUCGUUGAUGGUCUCCGGUGAAUUUAUGGAGAAGAAAGAACUAUUAUUUUCCACCAACUAUGUUGAGAAACUUUGUGGCACUUAAAAGAAUAAGAAGAAUGGACAAGCACAUACAGAUGUCACAUUGUUGCUUUUAAGCAUUCAUGAUUCUAGCAAAGAAUUAUUUGGAUGUUAAUUCUAGUCAAAUGUUCGGAGAAAUUAGGCAACUAUCGGAGAAAACCAGUAUAACACAUGCAAAUGUUGCAAAUAAUUUGAUGCCCAAAUCUGCGGAUGAAGAUGAAGAAACCUGCUUGAAGAACCUGAUCUAAGCUCCUUAAGCAGGCCAAGGAGGAGGAAGCAAGAAAAAGGGUGAUUGAGGAAGAGGAGCAUCUAAAAGCAGAGAAAGUAAAGGAGGAGAAAUAUACAGAAAAUGAGGUUAAAGAUAGCCAAAGUGCCUGGCAAACAAGUGAAGGAAAA